rnacentral:rRNA from 1 species
AGUGGCGGACGGGUGAGUAACGCGUGAGAAUCUGCCUUCAGGAUGGGGACAACAGCGGGAAACUGCUGCUAACACCCAAUGUGCCGCAAGGUGAAAAAUUUAUUGCCUGAAGAGGGGCUCGCGUCUGAUUAGCUAGUUGGUAGGGUAAAGGCCUACCAAGGCGACGAUCAGUAGCUGGUCUGAGAGGAUGAGCAGCCACACUGGGACUGAGACACGGCCCAGACUCCUACGGGAGGCAGCAGUGGGGAAUUUUCCGCAAUGGGCGAAAGCCUGACGGAGCAAUACCGCGUGAGGGAGGAAGGUCUAACAGAUUGUAAACCUCUUUUCUCAGGGAAGAAGCAAUGACGGUACCUGAGGAAUCAGCAUCGGCUAACUCCGUGCCAGCAGCCGCGGUAAUACGGAGGAUGCAAGCGUUAUCCGGAAUUAUUGGGCGUAAAGCGUCCGCAGGUGGCCAUUCAAGUCUGCUGUCAAAGACCAGGGCUUAACUCUGGAAAGGCAGUGGAAACUGAAAGGCUAGAGACUGGUAGGGGUAGAGGGAAUUCCCAGUGUAGCGGUGAAAUGCGUAGAGAUUGGGAAGAACACCAGUGGCGAAAGCGCUCUACUGGGCCGGAACUGACACUCAGGGACGAAAGCUAGGGGAGCGAAAGGGAUUAGAUACCCCUGUAGUCCUAGCCGUAAACGAUGGAUACUAGGUGU